CAUUGCGUCUCUUGCUUGGAAGCGGCUCUCUGGACCGCCUGACUCUAGGUUUUCAAUUAGUUUGUUACCAGAGCUCCAAGUCUGCUGAGCCGGUCGUUAACCUGCCUUGUCCGACGGAAAGGGACCGGCCGUCCCCAGGUGAAUGCCACGAGGGCAAGGCACCCCAGGCCACUGUGCUCUCUGCCCUGUAAAUAGACUCAACACCCAAUAGCCCCUGGAGUGAGUGGGACGCAGAGAACUGGACUAGUGAUGGCAACAGAAAAGAAAAGCAGAUGCAUUGACUUCUGGACUCCUGGGUCAACGGGAAAACACAGACUCUGCUUUCUGACCCGCAGCAGGACCUGGAGCCCUGACACAGCACUCGGGAACCACAGAAGGUGCCUGCGACCUCCGUGUCCCACCAGGCUGAUGGUCAUUGUGGGGGGCAUUGGCUGCAUGGUGCUCAAGACCACUAUGCACCGUCUGGUGAUGAACCUGGGAAUUCGCAAGGAAGCUUCCAAGUCACCGGAUCCAACUCUUUGCUUUACAGAUCAGAAAAUGAAGCUUCAGAGAGGAGACGAGUUUUUCUAAAGGUCACGCUACCAGGGAGAUUGGCACCACUACAAAUUAUGGCUGUCAAACCCAGCUGGGCUCCGAGAGCCACCCAGCGAUCCUUCCAUUUGUCUUAAAUCAUCUCUCUUUUCUAAUUCCCUUAAAGACAUCCAAAUUUCCACUCUACUUCCUGACUAUUUGUAGAAGCUGCUCUUCUUCAGUACAGUCACAUAGGCCAUUUACCAAAUGUCCCAGCACCCCAUUUUUCUGGGUUACCUGUAUCCCAGCUCCUGGAAGUUACCGUUAUGGCGACUUGUGUUGGCCAAUAGCUUUAAAACAGGUGCAGAAUCUGGGUCCUCCCUGGUGGCACAGCGGGUUCAAGUACAGCACAUUGAAGCUAACGGCACUGCAGUGCUAGUUUGCUCCCCACUUUGGAGGUGACCCACAGGGCGCAGCAGACCUCUCC